GAAGAUGCAGGGUCGUUACUGGUGAGUCGUUAUGGCAGGUGCAUUUUGUCAGCUCCAGCUCUGACCUGAAAACAGGGGAGAGGGCAGAGCCUCUCUCAGCUGGGCCAGGGAAAACUCUGGUAAGGACUUCUGUGGGAGAUAGUUUUUUACUAACCUGUAAAUCUGCUUAUUAUUACUUAUCAGUAAGUGCAAAACCCAGGCCAAGGAUCAGCUUGUUCUGGAAUCAAGUGAAUGCUCCGUUUCAGGGUAACAGCCCUUUUCAUGUUGAUUUUUUUUGCAGGUUGCUGGAUAUACUUUUAAGGACUUUACCUGCUGAGUAUACUCUUAUGCUGUCUCUUCCUGCUAGUCCUUUAAACUUCAUUAUGUGGAGGUUUUUUUAUAAAUAAAAGAGAUUUAAUGCAUUUUCUAUACGUUUUAUCUCCUAAAGUAUUAGGAUGUAUUGCAUCUUCUUUAAAUCUACCUUUCCCUUACUGUCCAUCUUCAAAAGACUCUUAACCAUGUCACAGAUGCCAAUGCUGCAGCGGUCUGUCCUCCCUCCUCUCCUUUUACUUUCUUGCCCCCAGUUUGCUCACAAGUCUGUUGCUAAAAAUCCCACAGCUGUGACACACCAGCCUAUCUCUCUCAAAUCCCACUGAUUUCAUUUCUCUCUCAGCCUCCAAUUAAAUCUCCCUACCUUCCCCUUCAAGGCCUUCUGUAAUGUUACUUAGACCUCGUUCCUCCCACUCUUCCUCCUGCCUGUACUCCCCCAGUCAUCCCUCCUUUUGCUCAUUUUAUCUCAUUUUUCGAUGGUUCGAUCUUGUUUUUUUUCUUCACGCUCCUCUGAUACCUCAAUCCAUCUCGCACUUUCUAUUAGUCAAACAUUUUUCCCCCUCAUUCUGUGAACCUGGCCUUAAAUCCCGUUUUCUUCUUUGCUAGCGAUAACAUCCCGUGUGCACUCACGUGCGGUUUCCGGAGCUGUUGCCGCAUGUGGUUUUCCUGGAGUGCAUGUUCUUCACACCAGGAAUUUGUGGUUCUCCUAUAGUGCACAUCCCAUAGAUACAAACACACAAGAGGCUUUUGAAGAGCAGCGGUCACUGGGCAGCUGAAAGCUUUGUCUCCAGCCUGGACAGCACAGUGCAAGGAUGACAGAGUUGAGGAGUGCCCAAGUUCACAGCAGAUGGCAUCGGGGCACAAAGGAACCCUGAAGUCUUUGGCAGGUUCUUAUUCAACAGCAUUUCCACUGCCGUGUCUAGCUACACACGUCAGGAAGAUGUAGACAGACAAAAAGCCAUCCGAGAUAACACCAGUUCAAAGUCAAGCUUGCACCUUACCCUGUUGUCAGAGGUGGCAGAAUAAGAGCUAAAGAAUAAGACCGGUUCCCACACUUCCAUCCAGUUGUGCCUUCUCCAGCCUGAAAACAAUCUUCUUUAGCCUCACAAGGUACAUCUGAUUGGCUUCCUAUCCUCAAGCACAUGAGUUUAAAACCCCACAGCCUUUGGAAAGUGAGAUGAAAACUUCAGUUCUCAUGACUGUAUAUAUGAAAAUCCUGGGAAGAGAGUUUUGGAGGGCUUUUGACCAAUGCAAUUUGAUGUGAUAAAAAUACUUAAAACAAUUUAGCUUUUGUAUGGUAAUUCCAGGCACUGAGAGUCAGUGAGAACAUGUAAGAAAUGCUAUUUGUUUCAAUGUGUAAUAUGAAUAAUCAUCAUUAUCUACAUUACAGAAUAGGGAAGAAGACAAAAAGCUGGUAUUGUAGAUAGGUUGGUAAUAAUGGACUGUUCAUAACAGGAAUAUUUUUAUUUGUUCCACACAGGAAUAUGUCAAUAUUCCAGUUGAGCAGAGUUCUAGGUCAUAUCUGGUUUUUCUUAAGAUUUAUAAAGACAUCAAGAAUCAGAUUUGCAGAAAAGCAGCGAAGCUGAGUGCAGUGCAGAUGAGACUCGAUGCUGUUCUCUGUGACAUCUUCAGGCAUCCUGAGCUGAAAGUUACAGCUAGCCAGGUGUCCCCUGGAAAUACAGGGCAACUGUAUACCUGCUGCCUUUAUCCAUUGCGGUGCUUUAUCAUUAAUUGUCAUUAUUAUGCUGCCUGCAGUUCAUAGAUACUGAAAGAAUUUUAAGAGCAAUAUAAUCGGAAUAGGACUGGGAGCCAAAUAUUUCGCCUCUAACAGAGACUUGCUUCAUGGCUUCAGACAGAAUAUCCACUCUCUCUUCAUUUUCUGUGUAAAUGAGGGCUAGGAUUUGUGUUCGGUGGGAUGUUAUGAGAUUAACUUUUUCUCAUAUGCAUAAACUGUUUUUAAGGUAGAAAGUUCCAAGUCUUAUUUCAUGACAGCCUUGCAACUACAGUACAAAGGGAGCGGACCCUGUCUCUCCUCGGAAAGGGACAAACAGCUUGGAACUCAGCAAGUACUCUAUCCAGCUAGAACAAAUACAAUUUUGCAGUUCAUUGAUUUCCAUUUAUAAUGCCAAGUGUUAUUUGAUUUAUUUUUUAAAUAUCUACAUGCCACAACAUUAACUUCCUUUUUUUCCCUUUUAAAUGAAGUGUCACUGGCACGUGGUCCUCAUUAGCCUAGAGAUAUUUUGGAUAAGUUAGGACAAAGGCUCAGCAGUCAAAGAAAAGAGGGCCAUUUAGGACAGUGUUGGUGAUGCAGUCCCCAACUCUGCUCUCCUUAUGUGAGAGAAUUUAGAAUUUUGGGGCAUACUAAACUACUAUAUAGCUGCAUGGACUGUUGUCCUGGUUCUGUCUGAGAUAGAGUUAAUUUUCUUCCUAGUAGAUGGUAUAGUGCUGCAUUUUAGAUUUAAAAUGAGAAGAGAGUUGAUAACACACUGAUGUUUUAGUUGCUGCUAAGUAGUGUUUACACUAAGGACUUUUCAGCUUCUCAUGUUCUGCCAGCAAGAAUGCUGGGGUGCACAAGAAACUGGGAGGGGGCACAGCCAGGACAGAUGACCCAAACUGGCCAAAGGGAUAUUCUAUACCAUAUGAUAUCACACUCAGUAUAUCAACUAGAGAAAAGUUAGCUGGGAGGCCACUGCUUAGGAACUGGCUGUGCAGUCAUUUGGCAGGUGGUGAGCAAUUACAUUGUGCAUCACUUGUUUUGUAUAUUAUUAUUAUUAUUAUUUUAUUUAAAUUAUUAAACUGUUCUUAUC